UAAAUAAAUUUAUUAAAAAAAAAUUGGAAGGAUACAGAGAAGGUGAGCACGAUCCUGCACAAGGGGGACACAAACUCAUGAAGUGUUCUGAAUUUUU
ensembl:snRNA U6 U6 spliceosomal RNA